rnacentral:rRNA from 1 species
UACGUAGGGUGCGAGCGUUAAUCGGAAUUACUGGGCGUAAAGCGUGCGCAGGCGGUGAUGUAAGACAGAUGUGAAAUCCCCGGGCUCAACCUGGGACCUGCAUUUGUGACUGCAUCGCUGGAGUGCGGCAGAGGGGGGUAGAAUUCCACGUGUAGCAGUGAAAUGCGUAGAGAUGUGGAGGAAUACCGAUGGCGAAGGCAGCCCCCUGGGCCAAUACUGACGCUCAUGCACGAAAGCGUGGGGAGCAAACAGGAUUAGAGU